CCUACGGGAGGCUGCAGUGAGGAAUAUUGGUCAAUGGACGGGAGACUGAACCAGCCAAGUAGCGUGAAGGAUGAAUGCCCAAUGGGUUGUAAACUUCUUUUAUAUGGGAAUAAAACGUUCCACGUGUGGGAUUUUGUAUGUACCAUAUGAAUAAGCAUCGGCUAACUCCGUGCCAGCAGCCGCGGUAAUACGGAGGAUCCGAGCGUUAUCCGGAUUUAUUGGGUUUAAAGGGUGCGUAGGGGGAUUGUUAAGUCAGGUGUGAAAGUUUGGGGCUCAACCGUAAAAUUGCAGUUGAAACUGGCAGUCUCGAGUACAGUAGAGGUGUGCGGAAUGCGCGGUGUAGCGGUGAAAUGCUUAGAUAUCACGAAGAACUCCGAUUGCGAAGGCAGUUCACUGGACUGCAACUGACACUGAGGCUCGAAAGCGUGUGUAUCAAACAGGAUUAGAUACCCGGGUAGUC
rnacentral:rRNA from 1 species